rnacentral:rRNA from 1 species
CCUACGGGCGGCAGCAGUAGGGAAUCUUCCACAAUGGGCGAAAGCCUGAUGGAGCAACGCCGCGUGGGUGAAGAAGGUCUUCGGAUCGUAAAACCCUGUUGUUAGAGAAGAAAGUGCGUGAGAGUAACUGUUCACGUAUCGACGGUUUCUAACCAGAAAGCCACGGCUAACUACGUGCCAGCAGCCGCGGUAAUACGUAGGUGGCAAGCGUUAGCCGGAUUGAUUGGGCGUAAGGGGAACGCAGGCGGUCUUUUAAGUCUGAUGUGACAGCCGUCGGAUUAACCGGCGUAGUGCAUUGGAAACUGGGAGACUUGAGUGCAGACGCGGGGACUGGCACUCCAUGUGUAGCGGUGAAAUGCGUCGAUAUAUGGAAGGACCCCAGUGGCGAAGGCGGCUCUCUGGUCUGUAACUGACGCUGAGGUUCGAAAGCGUGGGUAGCAAACAGGAUUAGAUACCCGUGUAGUC